GUAGGGAGCAAGCGUUGUCCGGAUUUACUGGGUGUAAAGGGUGCGUAGGCGGCUUUGCAAGUCAGAUGUGAAAUCUAUGGGCUCAACCCAUAAACUGCAUUUGAAACUGUAGAGCUUGAGUGAAGUAGAGGCAGGCGGAAUUCCCCGUGUAGCGGUGAAAUGCGUAGAGAUGGGGAGGAACACCAGUGGCGAAGGCGGCCUGCUGGGCUUUAACUGACGCUGAGGCACGAAAGCGUGGGUAGCAAACAGGAUUAGAUACCCUGGUAGUCCACGCCGUAAACGAUGGACACUAGCGUCCGGGGGGAGCGACCCUCCCGGUGCCGUCGCUAACGCAGUAAGUGUCCCGCCUGGGGAGUACGGCCGCAAGGCUG
rnacentral:rRNA from 1 species